UUUUUUUAUUUUUUUUUUUCUGGAGGUACAAAAGAGAGGCAUGGAAAGCAACGUGCUUCCAAAACUCCUUGUCCUUUAUGAUGCACUUAAGGAGCUUUGAAGUCCUGUCAUAGUCAAUUUCUAGAAAUUUGAUUUUUAAGCAGUCAGUAAGGAGCAUGAAGUCUUAUAGUCAGUAUUCAGUAGCUUUAAGGUCGGAUCUAUUUUGAGAUUUCAGUGAUCAAUAGGAACUUAAUAGAUUAAAUUUGCAAAGUCAUUGUUUCUUGCAAUUUAGUAGACCCAGAUUAUUUGGACUGUAAGGCUAGGUAGGAUCAUGUGUCUAUGAGGCAGCUAAAAUACUUAUAGUAUGAUGAAAAGAAGUUUUGCAUUUUUAAAUAGACUUGGUGGAAAAAGACUCCAAUCAAUGUUUGCUUGUUGCUUUACCACAAUAGAAUUAAAAAACACGUGUUCAACUUUUAGUAGUUGAUAUGAAAGCACAAAGGGUCAUUCUCCACACUCUUGUAUUGUAUAAGUGGAUGAAUGACAUGUGCUUGAAGUGGCUGUUAGACCAUAGUAUGGAGACAUGAUGCCUAGAGGACCUGAUGCAAUCUCUGCCUUAUUUAUGAAUCUUCUAUCAUUAUGUCUACAAGAAAGCCACCUUUUUUGUUCACUUUCUUAUGUACCUCAUAAAUUAGAGAAAAAUUGCAUGUAAAAGGGAAAUUCUGUUCUAGAAAAAAAUCACAAUAAAUAAAUAUUCCAAAUGCUCUCUGUUUCCCCAUGGAAAUAAAUACUUUAAUUUAGUUUUGAUUAUUUGACACAUGAUAUUGGAAAAGUAAAACAAUAUUAAACAAAAUCAAAGAAAAAAGUCUAGUAAAAAUUUUGUUUCCAAGACUCAAACAUAAUAUUCUAAGGUUGUCAGUUUCUAUUUCAAGGCUGUUUAAAAAAAAAUUGUAACACAAUGAAUUAAUUUCUCAAAUAUGCUGAUAUUUGAGAAUCCUAUAUUUUGACAGAACUCAAUAUGACUCAAGAGAAGUGGCUUGAAAACCAGGCAUUUCUGUGACCUAAGAUCAUAAUUACAUAAAGAAUUGAAUAAUGAACCCUAUGAGCUCUGGCAAAAAUGCAAGAGAAAUAAUUUAAAAAGUUGACCAUUUGAAUUAACAGCCUCUCUAGCACAUUCCUAUCACUUACCAGGGCUUUGUUAUGGGAGUGUGGAUGGAAGCAUGGGGGGUACACUGGCCUUCAUGUCCAUCUGUACUUGGCUCCAUUUGGCCUGGGGGACAACACACACUCACCUGGGGGGUUCCAGAGUACUCCUGAGGGAGAUCCGCUGCUCUGCAAUACCUGUAGAGAAAAUAAGACAUCGCCAAUGCGUGCACCCACUCUGGGUACAGAAACAGUGCUUAGUUUUGCAGAUAAAGUUAUGCUCCGCAGUGCAAAUGGAUUUUCUCUCUUCUUUUUUUCAAGCAUUUAACUAUUUUUGUAUUGAACUGAUGUGAAAUUACAUGAGCUUGGAUAAUGUGAAUAAUGCAUGAGAUUUAAGACAAACACAUGAAAGGAGCUUAUUUUUCAUGUCAAACAAUUCUUUAUUUUUUAUGGUACAAAUUAAAAGUGACAGAUCUGAAGCUGUUAAGAAAUACACAAAGUGCAGCUUUACUGACCAUACAGAUAUUGCUCUAGAUUAAGUACAGUUUUUGUCAGUUUUUUUUAUUUUUUAUUUUUUUCAUGUUAAGCAACCUGUGCAGAUAAAUCAGCUUUGGUUUCAAAGUCAGAGUAAUAAGGAGCUUUUAAAUAUCCAGUUUGUUUUCUUGGUCACAAGUCCACCAUAUCCACUCCUUUUUUAUUUAUUCAUAUUUUUUAACAACAGAAUACAGUCCGUUUUGUACUGCCAUCUUUCCCCCUGCAUGCUCCAUGCAUGGAAAAACAGAUCUCUUUGCAGUGCUUUGUAAGUGACCCUGGUGACCAUUCUGUAGAUUAUAGCACAUAGGACAAAAAUAAUAAUAAUAGUAAUAAUAAUAAUUAAUAAUAAUAAUAAUAAUAAUAGUAAUAAUAUCACUUUUUAACAAUAAAUAAACAAAUGUGCCCCACAUAGUCUCAAGUUGGAAACAAGCAAACCACAUGACAAAAAGCUCAUUACAAAAUGUUUUCCAAACAGAUUUUACAGUCAAACAUUGACAUGGAAAUCAAUUUCCUCUUUUAUCUUCUUAUUUGAAUGUUGGUCAAUAACUGGGUACAAGUAGAGUGCUGAGGUAAAACACUGAUGAACAGUUUUAUUUUUGUAUUUUUUUAAAAUAGUAACAGUUUAGUAUUGCGAGAUUGUCAGCAACAUUUAGCCAUAUCUAUACAAUGUGCAUAUACCUACAUACAUUGAGCUUUGGUCCAGCAUUGAGAAGACGAGCAAAGGCAUUUUACAUAUUUCUUUUUGGUUAUAGCUUGAGUUCUUUGAUACGCCUCUACUUGUUCCUUCCUAGCUCCUUUUUGCUUCUUUGUUCUCUCUCUUUUUCCUUUUUUUCCUAUUUUUCUUUUUUUUUUCCUUUUUUUGGCUUUUUAAAAAUUUUUUUUCAGUAAUAAUGUAAAGAAAUUGGAACCAUUUGAAUGCAUUUGAUUUCUUCAACUGUCCAAAAUAGCUUUUCAGUGAAAAACAUAAAAAGACAAAAUUAGAAGAGUAAGUGAACCCUUGGUUCAUUAUUCAAAUAAUAUUUUAUAUAUAUUUAUAUAUAUAUAUUAAAAAAAUCAAUUAUCAACAAAGUGGAAAACCAUUAAACCUUCACAUAUGACCGAAGAGACUUUUGUUUCAUUUACUGGUAGCAACCUACCUUUUAGUCACAUGCAAAAUUAAAACGUAUUCAAUUUUUAUCAAUACAUGAAAAUUGUUUACAAAUGGGAACCAGAAAUGUUGCCAGUAACAUAACAAAACAAAAUAUUUAUGGCCCUCCCAAAGAUGUAUGACUCAGAUACAAUUUAUCUUCCUAAGAAUCUAUUCAGGCACCAUUUAUGCCUCAUAGCAAAAAUUUGUGUAUAAAAAAAUUAACAUGAGAAGCAUUACAACACCUUAUAAAUAAUUUACAAAACAUAAUACAAAAUUAGAAAACUGUAAAAAAAAAUCAUUGCACAUGAAUGAUUUUAAGACUGUGGGAUGAACAUUAUUUUUUCUUCCAUGCUGGCAAUUUAUAUUUAUUUUACAUUUUCACUGUCCUAGUUAUAGCCUUCCGAUAUGUACUUUGGAACAGAAAAGAGCUUAUAUAACUGCUGCCAGCAUAUUUUUAAACAUUU
ensembl:lncRNA